rnacentral:lncRNA from 1 species
AAAGCUUGAAAAGGGGAAUAUUUGCUGCUCAUUAUGUUCAGUUUUUGCUGUUCAUAAAGGUGGACGUUUUUGGAGUUAUUCUUUGUUUAAUUUGCUGUUGGAAUUUCAGUUUUAAGUGUGUAAUAAAACCUUUGUAAUCAGCCUUUAAUAGCUGUUACAAAUAUUUUUCUUUAUUUAGCACUUUUAUUUGCUGUUUAAUUAGGGAUGUUACAAGGGAAUGUGAAUCCUUGUAGCUGGUCAGUUUUUAGGAGGAAGUUGAAGAGUUUAUCUAUGUCAUGUAACUCU